rnacentral:lncRNA from 1 species
UAAAGAUAAGGAUAAUGAUAAGGAAGAUAAAGAUAAGGAUAAAGAUGAAGAUAAAGAUAAGGAAGAUAAAGAUAAGAAGAUAAGGAUAAAGAUAAGGAAGAUAAAGAUAAAGAUAAGUAUAAGGAACAUAAAGAUUAGGAUAAGGAUAAAGAUAAGGAUAAGGAACAUAAAGAUUAAGAUAAGGAUAAAGAUAAGGAAGAUAAAGAUAAGGAUAAAGGUUACGAUAAAGAUAAAGAUAAAGAUAAGGAAGAUAAAGAUAAGAGGAUAAAGAUAAAAAU